GAUGAACGCUAGCGGCAGGCCUAACACAUGCAAGUCGAGGGGUAGCAGGAUUAAGCUUGCUUAAUUGCUGACGACCGGCGCACGGGUGCGUAACGCGUAUGCAACCUACCUUAUACUGGGGUAUAGCCCGGAGAAAUUCGGAUUAAUCCCCCAUAGUACUAAUGAAUCGCAUGGUUUAUUAGUUAAAGCAUUGCGGUAUAAGAUGGGCAUUCGUACUAUUAGCAAGAUGGGGAGGACACGGCUACCCAUAGCUACGAUAGGUAGGGGGGCUGGGAGGGUGGGCCCCCACACUGGUACUGAGACACGGACCAGAAUCCUACGGGAGGCAGCAGUGAGGAAUAUUGGUCAAUGGGCGCAAGCCUGAACCAGCCAUGCCGCGUGCAGGAAGAAUGCCCUAUGGGUUGUAAACUGCUUUUAUUUGGGAAUAAACCUCUUUACGUGUAGAGAGCUGAAGGUACCAAAUGAAUAAGCACCGGCUAACUCCGUGCCAGCAGCCGCAGUAA
rnacentral:rRNA from 1 species